rnacentral:tRNA from 1 species
GAUCGACUGGUGUAGUGGUUAUCACGUGUCGUUCACACCGACAAGGCCCUGAGUUCGAUCCUCAGGUCGAUCA